UUCAUGGAGUGAGAUUUCCUCUUCUGGUUGGCGGGCCGGGGAUCCCCUGGGAGAGCGCGUGCUUUGCAAGCAUGAGGUCGUCGGUUCGAUCCCGUCUGGCUCCACCAGAUGGUUUGAUCACCGAGAUCUUGACCGUCGUCCGCGAAACAUCACUUCGCAUCCUGCUAGUCUGGAUAGACAGCAGUUUGCGUGUUUUCUGACAUCGUAAAGAGGAGAUCGAUCCGAGUUGGGUCGUGCAGCAUAUCGUUGCGCGAGCCUUCAUUAUCUCCGGAUCAUUUCGGCGCUCGCUUCCAGCCGUGAGGUUGGAUGCGGGUUGUAAAUGAUCCUUUUAGCGAAGCUUGACCGCCUCGCUAUCGGAACGAUCUUACGAAGCAAGCUGGUCUUUCUAGUCAAUGUCCGGCUGCGGAUAGCGUUCAUCGAGGGCGCGUGCCGCAAGGCAAUUCUGCAGACAACAUUCUGCCGAGUGUGUGGACAUUGAUAAUGAGAGCAAUCAAGUGCCUUAAGGGUGUUCGGUGGAUGCCUUGGCGCUGAGAGGCGAUGAAGGACGUGCUACGCUGCGAUAAGCCGUGGGGAGCUGCGAAGAAGCUUUGAUCCGCGGAUUUCCGAUGG
rnacentral:misc_RNA from 1 species